rnacentral:rRNA from 1 species
GACGAACGCUGGCGGCGUGCUUAACACAUGCAAGUCGAACGGAAAGGCCCUGCUUUUGUGGGGUGCUCGAGUGGCGAACGGGUGAGUAACACGUGAGUAACCUGCCCUUGACUUUGGGAUAACUUCAGGAAACUGGGGCUAAUACCGGAUAGGAGCUCCUGCUGCAUGGUGGGGUUGGAAAGUUUCGGCGGUUGGGGAUGGACUCGCGGCUUAUCAGCUUGUUGGUGGGGUAGUGGCUUACCAAGGCUUUGACGGGUAGCCGGCCUGAGAGGGUGACCGGCCACAUUGGGACUGAGAUACGGCCCAGACUCCUACGGGAGGCAGCAGUGGGGAAUAUUGCACAAUGGGCGGAAGCCUGAUGCAGCAACGCCGCGUGCGGGAUGACGGCCUUCGGGUUGUAAACCGCUUUCGCCUGUGACGAAGCGUGAGUGACGGUAAUGGGUAAAGAAGCACCGGCUAACUAC